GGAGAUAUGGCCGAGUGGUCUAAGGCGCCGUCUUAAGGUGAGUCCUCCCGUCCGGGUGGGUAAUCCGGCGGUCUUCGGGCGUGGGUUCGAAUCCCACUGUCUUCA
rfam:Puccinia triticina 1-1 BBBD Race 1 supercont2.1162, whole genome shotgun sequence.